AGAGUUUGAUUCUGGCUCAGAUUGAACGCUGGCGGCGUGCUUAACACAUGCAAGUCGAACGUGAAAGUCCUUCGGGACGAGUAGAGUGGCGCACGGGUGAGUAACGCGUGGAUAAUCUGCCUCUGCAAUCGGAAUAACGACUGGAAACGGUCGCUAAUACCGGAUACGCUUAAGUUUUACCUCUUAAGGAAAGAUGACCUCUAUUUAUAAGUUAUCGUGCAGAGAUGAGUCCGCGUCCCAUUAGCUUGUUGGCGGGGUAACGGCCCACCAAGGCGACGAUGGGUAGCCGAUUUAAGAGGAUGAUCGGCCACAUUGGAACUGAAACACGGUCCAAACUCCUACGGGAGGCAGCAGUGGGGAAUAUUGCGCAAUGGGCGAAAGCCUGACGCAGCGACGCCGCGUGAGGGAUGAAGGUCUUCGGAUCGUAAACCUCUGUCAGAAGGGAAAAAUGUACAGUGCUCCAAUCAACACUGUAUUGAUGGUACCUUCAGAGGAAGCACCGGCUAACUCCGUGCCAGCAGCCGCGGUAAUACGGAGGGUGCAAGCGUUAAUCGGAAUUACUGGGCGUAAAGCGCGCGUAGGUUGUUUUGUAAGUCAGAGGUGUAAUCCCACGGCUUAACCGUGGAACUGCCUUUGAUACUGCAUAACUUGGAUCCGGGAGAGGACAGCGGAAUUCCAGGUGUAGGAGUGAAAUCCGUAGAUAUCUGGAAGAACAUCAGUGGCGAAGGCGGCUGUCUGGACCGGUAUUGACGCUGAGGCGCGAAAGCGUGGGUAGCAAACAGGAUUAGAUACCCUGGUAGUCCACGCUGUAAACGAUGGAUGCUGGAUGUCGGGGCGCAAGCUUCGGUGUCGUAGUUAACGCGAUAAGCAUCCCGCCUGGGGACUACGGUCGCAAGGCUGAAACUCAAAGAAAUUGACGGGGGCCCGCACAAGCGGUGGAGUAUGUGGUUUAAUUCGAUGCAACGCGAAGAACCUUACCUGGGUUUGACAUCCACGGAAUUUCUGUGAAAGCAGGAAGUGCCCGCAAGGGAGCCGUGAGACAGGUGCUGCAUGGCUGUCGUCAGCUCGU
rnacentral:rRNA from 1 species